rnacentral:rRNA from 1 species
AUUUGCCUACGGGGCGCAGCAGUGGGGAAUAUUGCACAAUGGGGGAAACCCUGAUGCAGCGACGCCGCGUGAGUGAAGAAGUAUUUCGGUAUGUAAAGCUCUAUCAGCAGGGAAGAAGCAAGACGGUACCUGACUAAGAAGCCCCGGCUAACUACGUGCCAGCAGCCGCGGUAAUACGUAGGGGGCAAGCGUUAUCCGGAUUUACUGGGUGUAAAGGGAGCGUAGACGGUAUGGCAAGUCUGAAGUGAAAGCCCAGGGCUUAACCCUGGGACUGCUUUGGAAACUGUUAGACU